rnacentral:rRNA from 1 species
AAACUAGAUUAGAUACCCUAUUAUGCUUAGCCGUAAACCUAAAUAAUUAAUAAACAAAAUUAUUCGCCAGAGUACUACAAGCAACAGCUUAAAACUCAAAGGACUUGGCGGUGCUUUAUAUCCCUCUAGAGGAGCCUGUUCUAUAAUCGAUAAACCCCGAUAAACCUCACCACUUCUUGCUAAUUCAACUUAUAUACCGCCAUCCUCAGCAAACCCUGUCAAGGCCUCAAAGUAAGCAAAAACACAUACAUAAAGACGUUAGGUCAAGGUGUAGUCUAUGAAGUGGAAAGAAAUGGGCUACAUUUUCUAACAUAAGAACAGCAUCCCAACAGAAGCCUUUAUGAAACUAAAAGCCAAAGGAGGAUUUAGCAGUAAAUUAAGAAUAGAGAGCUUAAUUGAAUUGGGCCAUGAAGCACGCACACAUCGCCCGUCGCUCUU